UGUGUGUCACGAGCCCUGGAGCCCUCUGUCCCCAGGAGCAGCCCGAGCUCCCCCUGUAAGCAGGGCGGAGGUGGCGGCAGUGCCGCAGCCGGCUGCUUUAGCCAGCCAGCAGGAACAACCCCAGCAUCGCCCCAUCGGAGGGGGCCGGCUGAGGAAGUGUUGUGCCGGAAGGCGGGCAUAGUCCCAUCGCCUUUGGCGUUGCUUUUGGUUGGGGUGACGUGCGCGCAGUUGGCGCGGAGGUGUCUCCCUGGGCUCCUGAAGACGUGGUGUUGUGCUGCAGCCAGGAGGGCCAGCCCGUCCGUCGGGCCUAGGCCGGAGCCUCGUGCUCCAUGGGGCUUUCUUGGGAGGCGGUGAGGCGUGGGGGGACCGCCCUGUAGGCAGGGCUGUGCGUGUCCCCUGCCCUGGACAGGAGGCGCCUGUAGGGCCCCCGCUGUAAUCAGGGGGGCGGGCACCUGUGGCCCCGGCCUUUCAGAGGCGCGGGGCCGAGUUGUGUGGAGGGGCCGGGCGUGCCCUCCCCGUACUCGGGGCUGGGGUCCCGGCCCCCGGCCUUUGGCCGUGCCGCUCCACCGCCUGGCUGCUGAGAAGUCGUUCCUGCUGGUGUGGGGGAAGGCCGAGCUCUGGGGCUCCCUGGGUGUCGACCUGCCUGUAAUCAGGGGUGCGGGUCUGGGAGCCUUUGUGCUCCGCUGGCAGCCGGUGUGGGGUGACCGUCCCGUUAGCGGGUUCGCGGUCAGGGUGCCCCGGAAUCGGAGAGAAGGAGCCUCCGUUUGCCUUUGGGACCAGGGCUGCCCCGUAACUCGGGGGCCAGCCAGUGCCCUGGCGUCCCGGGCACUUUGCGGUCCAGGCAGCGGCUCGAGCCCCCUGUAAGCAGGGGUGCAGCCUGUCUGGCCGCUGCUUUGCCUGCCCAGCUCCGUUUGCCCAGGGUGCCCGCCUCCGAGCCCAGCUCCAGCACCGGCUGGAGCUCUGCUGCGCGUCCCUCAGCAGCAGCCGGUGGGGAAGAAAGAAGAGGGAGGCGUCGUGUGGACCUGCACUGCGAGGCAAGAGCGACGAAGAAGAGGAGAAGAGGGAGGCGUCGUGUGGACCUGCACUGCGAGGCAAGACUGACGAAGAAGAGGAGCAGAGGAGCAAAGAGAAAGGCACUCUGGGCAAAAGGCCGUCCCGGUCGAGAGGUCUGCAGACACGUAAGAAGAGCAUGGCCAGCACCUUUGGUGUCCUGGCCGGCUUUGCGCUGGGCGACCUCCCUGUAAGCAGGGCUCAGGUCUUUUGCUUUAGUCGGCCUUUUGCCACGCUGCUCCUUUGGCUGCCUGGAGAGAGUGUCAACCCUGUAAGGAGGGUGAGCGCCACUGUCUCCGCACCCGAGGGGGAACUGGAGCUCUCUGGACCCCAAGGCCACCCUGUAAGCAGGGGAGGGCCGUUUUGCCCACCCGACUCCUGCGGCCCUGGCAGCUUUCUGCCUGCGGCCAGCGUGACGCCCCGUAGUCGGGGUGUGUGUCACGAGCCCUGGAGCCCUCUGUCCCCAGGAGCAGCCCGAGCUCCCCCUGUAAGCAGGGCGGAGGUGGCGGCAGUGCCGCAGCCGGCUGCUUUAGCCAGCCAGCAGGAACAACCCCAGCAUCGCCCCAUCGGAGGGGGCCGGCUGAGGAAGUGUUGUGCCGGAAGGCGGGCAUAGUCCCAUCGCCUUUGGCGUUGCUUUUGGUUGGGGUGACGUGCGCGCAGUUGGCGCGGAGGUGUCUCCCUGGGCUCCUGAAGACGUGGUGUUGUGCUGCAGCCAGGAGGGCCAGCCCGUCCGUCGGGCCUAGGCCGGAGCCUCGUGCUCCAUGGGGCUUUCUUGGAAGGCGGUGAGGCGUGGGGGGACCGCCCUGUAGGCAGGGCUGUGCGUGUCCCCUGCCCUGGACAGGAGGCGCCUGUAGGGCCCCCGCUGUAAUCAGGGGGGCGGGCACCUGUGGCCCCGGCCUUUCAGAGGCGCGGGGCCGAGUUGUGUGGAGGGGCCGGGCGUGCCCUCCCCGUACUCGGGGCUGGGGUCCCGGCCCCCGGCCUUUGGCCGUGCCGCUCCACCGCCUGGCUGCUGAGAAGUCGUUCCUGCUGGUGUGGGGGAAGGCCGAGCUCUGGGGCUCCCUGGGUGUCGACCUGCCUGUAAUCAGGGGUGCGGGUCUGGGAGCCUUUGUGCUCCGCUGGCAGCCGGUGUGGGGUGACCGUCCCGUUAGCGGGUUCGCGGUCAGGGUGCCCCGGAAUCGGAGAGAAGGAGCCUCCGUUUGCCUUUGGGACCAGGGCUGCCCCGUAACUCGGGGGCCAGCCAGUGCCCUGGCGUCCCGGGCACUUUGCGGUCCAGGCAGCGGCUCGAGCCCCCUGUAAGCAGGGGUGCAGCCUGUCUGGCCGCUGCUUUGCCUGCCCAGCUCCGUUUGCCCAGGGUGCCCGCCUCCGAGCCCAGCUCCAGCACCGGCUGGAACUCUGCUGCGCGUCCCUCAGCAGCAGCCGGUGGGGAAGAAAGAAGAGGGAGGCGUCGUGUGGACCUGCACUGCGAGGCAAGAGCGACGAAGAAGAGGAGAAGAGGGAGGCGUCGUGUGGACCUGCACUGCGAGGCAAGACUGACGAAGAAGAGGAGCAGAGGAGCAAAGAGAAAGGCACUCUGGGCAAAAGGCCGUCCCGGUCGAGAGCAGCAGCCGGUGGGGAAGAAAGAAGAGGGAGGCGUCGUGUGGACCUGCACUGCGAGGCAAGAGCGACGAAGAAGAGGAGAAGAGGGAGGCGUCGUGUGGACCUGCACUGCGAGGCAAGACUGACGAAGAAGAGGAGCAGAGGAGCAAAGAGAAAGGCACUCUGGGCAAAAGGCCGUCCCGGUCGAGAGGUCUGCAGACACGUAAGAAGAGCAUGGCCGGCACCUUUGGUGUCCUGGCCGGCUUUGCGCUGGGCGACCUCCCUGUAAGCAGGGCUCAGGUCUUUUGCUUUAGUCGGCCUUUUGCCACGCUGCUCCUUUGGCUGCCUGGAGAGAGUGUCAACCCUGUAAGGAGGGUGAGCGCCACUGUCUCCGCACCCGAGGGGGAACUGGAGCUCUCUGGACCCCAAGGCCACCCUGUAAGCAGGGGAGGGCCGUUUUGCCCACCCGACUCCUGCGGCCCUGGCGGCUUUCUGCCUGCGGCCAGCGUGACGCCCCGUAGGCGGGGUGUGUGUCACGGCAUGCAGCCCCGAUGGGGUGGGUCUGAGGCUCUCCUGGCCUGCUCGUGGGUAGGGGUUGCCCCCCGGCCCGCUCUGGAUGGUGUCUGCACGCAGUUCCCUGUCUCUUGUGGAAAGCCAAGUUUGCCCCUGGCCCUGGCCCUCUCCCUCUUCUCCCUCUCCCUGUCCUUGUCGGGGUGUGUGAGUGAGCCCGUCCUCUAGGCCCCUGUUAAAAAUAAAAAUAAAAAAGCUGCAGCUUGCUUAGCUUUGGCUUCCCAGAAGGGAACGCAGGGCUCUGUGCAGAUGCAGGGGGGUCCCCUUUCAGGCCCCGAGCCGAGGGUUGAGUCUGGACUCGCCCCUUAUUUCCUAGGACAGGGCCAAGCCACUUCCUUGGUAGCAGACCAGCCUGUAGCCAGGGCCUGGGUCUGCGCCUGUCCUUCUGGCGCCCUGCCAGCGUGACGCCCCGUAGUCGGGGUGUGUGUCACGAGCCCUGGAGCCCUCUGUCCCCAGGAGCAGCCCGAGCUCCCCCUGUAAGCAGGGCGGAGGUGGCGGCAGUGCCGCAGCCGGCUGCUUUAGCCAGCCAGCAGGAACAACCCCAGCAUCGCCCCAUCGGAGGGGGCCGGCUGAGGAAGUGUUGUGCCGGAAGGCGGGCAUAGUCCCAUCGCCUUUGGCGUUGCUUUUGGUUGGGGUGACGUGCGCGCAGUUGGCGCGGAGGUGUCUCCCUGGGCUCCUGAAGACGUGGUGUUGUGCUGCAGCCAGGAGGGCCAGCCCGUCCGUCGGGCCUAGGCCGGAGCCUCGUGCUCCAUGGGGCUUUCUUGGAAGGCGGUGAGGCGUGGGGGGACCGCCCUGUAGGCAGGGCUGUGCGUGUCCCCUGCCCUGGACAGGAGGCGCCUGUAGGGCCCCCGCUGUAAUCAGGGGGGCGGGCACCUGUGGCCCCGGCCUUUCAGAGGCGCGGGGCCGAGUUGUGUGGAGGGGCCGGGCGUGCCCUCCCCGUACUCGGGGCUGGGGUCCCGGCCCCCGGCCUUUGGCCGUGCCGCUCCACCGCCUGGCUGCUGAGAAGUCGUUCCUGCUGGUGUGGGGGAAGGCCGAGCUCUGGGGCUCCCUGGGUGUCGACCUGCCUGUAAUCAGGGGUGCGGGUCUGGGAGCCUUUGUGCUCCGCUGGCAGCCGGUGUGGGGUGACCGUCCCGUUAGCGGGUUCGCGGUCAGGGUGCCCCGGAAUCGGAGAGAAGGAGCCUCCGUUUGCCUUUGGGACCAGGGCUGCCCCGUAACUCGGGGGCCAGCCAGUGCCCUGGCGUCCCGGGCACUUUGCGGUCCAGGCAGCGGCUCGAGCCCCCUGUAAGCAGGGGUGCAGCCUGUCUGGCCGCUGCUUUGCCUGCCCAGCUCCGUUUGCCCAGGGUGCCCGCCUCCGAGCCCAGCUCCAGCACCGGCUGGAGCUCUGCUGCGCGUCCCUCAGCAGCAGCCGGUGGGGAAGAAAGAAGAGGGAGGCGUCGUGUGGACCUGCACUGCGAGGCAAGAGCGACGAAGAAGAGGAGAAGAGGGAGGCGUCGUGUGGACCUGCACUGCGAGGCAAGACUGACGAAGAAGAGGAGCAGAGGAGCAAAGAGAAAGGCACUCUGGGCAAAAGGCCGUCCCGGUCGAGAGGUCUGCAGACACGUAAGAAGAGCAUGGCCGGCACCUUUGGUGUCCUGGCCGGCUUUGCGCUGGGCGACCUCCCUGUAAGCAGGGCUCAGGUCUUUUGCUUUAGUCGGCCUUUUGCCACGCUGCUCCUUUGGCUGCCUGGAGAGAGUGUCAACCCUGUAAGGAGGGUGAGCGCCACUGUCUCCGCACCCGAGGGGGAACUGGAGCUCUCUGGACCCCAAGGCCACCCUGUAAGCAGGGGAGGGCCGUUUUGCCCACCCGACUCCUGCGGCCCUGGCGGCUUUCUGCCUGCGGCCAGCGUGACGCCCCGUAGGCGGGGUGUGUGUCACGGCAUGCAGCCCCGAUGGGGUGGGUCUGAGGCUCUCCUGGCCUGCUCGUGGGUAGGGGUUGCCCCCCGGCCCGCUCUGGAUGGUGUCUGCACGCAGUUCCCUGUCUCUUGUGGAAAGCCAAGUUUGCCCCUGGCCCUGGCCCUCUCCCUCUUCUCCCUCUCCCUGUCCUUGUCGGGGUGUGUGAGUGAGCCCGUCCUCUAGGCCCCUGUUAAAAAUAAAAAUAAAAAAGCUGCAGCUUGCUUAGCUUUGGCUUCCCAGAAGGGAACGCAGGGCUCUGUGCAGAUGCAGGGGGGUCCCCUUUCAGGCCCCGAGCCGAGGGUUGAGUCUGGACUCGCCCCUUAUUUCCUAGGACAGGGCCAAGCCACUUCCUUGGUAGCAGACCAGCCUGUAGCCAGGGCCUGGGUCUGCGCCUGUCCUUCUGGCGCCCUGCCAGCGUGACGCCCCGUAGUCGGGGUGUGUGUCACGAGCCCUGGAGCCCUCUGUCCCCAGGAGCAGCCCGAGCUCCCCCUGUAAGCAGGGCGGAGGUGGCGGCAGUGCCGCAGCCGGCUGCUUUAGCCAGCCAGCAGGAACAACCCCAGCAUCGCCCCAUCGGAGGGGGCCGGCUGAGGAAGUGUUGUGCCGGAAGGCGGGCAUAGUCCCAUCGCCUUUGGCGUUGCUUUUGGUUGGGGUGACGUGCGCGCAGUUGGCGCGGAGGUGUCUCCCUGGGCUCCUGAAGACGUGGUGUUGUGCUGCAGCCAGGAGGGCCAGCCCGUCCGUCGGGCCUAGGCCGGAGCCUCGUGCUCCAUGGGGCUUUCUUGGAAGGCGGUGAGGCGUGGGGGGACCGCCCUGUAGGCAGGGCUGUGCGUGUCCCCUGCCCUGGACAGGAGGCGCCUGUAGGGCCCCCGCUGUAAUCAGGGGGGCGGGCACCUGUGGCCCCGGCCUUUCAGAGGCGCGGGCCGAGUUGUGUGGAGGGGCCGGGCGUGCCCUCCCCGUACUCGGGGCUGGGGUCCCGGCCCCCGGCCUUUGGCCGUGCCGCUCCACCGCCUGGCUGCUGAGAAGUCGUUCCUGCUGGUGUGGGGGAAGGCCGAGCUCUGGGGCUCCCUGGGUGUCGACCUGCCUGUAAUCAGGGGUGCGGGUCUGGGAGCCUUUGUGCUCCGCUGGCAGCCGGUGUGGGGUGACCGUCCCGUUAGCGGGUUCGCGGUCAGGGUGCCCCGGAAUCGGAGAGAAGGAGCCUCCGUUUGCCUUUGGGACCAGGGCUGCCCCGUAACUCGGGGGCCAGCCAGUGCCCUGGCGUCCCGGGCACUUUGCGGUCCAGGCAGCGGCUCGAGCCCCCUGUAAGCAGGGGUGCAGCCUGUCUGGCCGCUGCUUUGCCUGCCCAGCUCCGUUUGCCCAGGGUGCCCGCCUCCGAGCCCAGCUCCAGCACCGGCUGGAGCUCUGCUGCGCGUCCCUCAGCAGCAGCCGGUGGGGAAGAAAGAAGAGGGAGGCGUCGUGUGGACCUGCACUGCGAGGCAAGAGCGACGAAGAAGAGGAGAAGAGGGAGGCGUCAUGUGGACCUGCACUGCGAGGCAAGACUGACGAAGAAGAGGAGCAGAGGAGCAAAGAGAAAGGCACUCUGGGCAAAAGGCCGUCCCGGUCGAGAGGUCUGCAGACACGUAAGAAGAGCAUGGCCGGCACCUUUGGUGUCCUGGCCGGCUUUGCGCUGGGCGACCUCCCUGUAAGCAGGGCUCAGGUCUUUUGCUUUAGUCGGCCUUUUGCCACGCUGCUCCUUUGGCUGCCUGGAGAGAGUGUCAACCCUGUAAGGAGGGUGAGCGCCACUGUCUCCGCACCCGAGGGGGAACUGGAGCUCUCUGGACCCCAAGGCCACCCUGUAAGCAGGGGAGGGCCGUUUUGCCCACCCGACUCCUGCGGCCCUGGCGGCUUUCUGCCUGCGGCCAGCGUGACGCCCCGUAGGCGGGGUGUGUGUCACGGCAUGCAGCCCCGAUGGGGUGGGUCUGAGGCUCUCCUGGCCUGCUCGUGGGUAGGGGUUGCCCCCCGGCCCGCUCUGGAUGGUGUCUGCACGCAGUUCCCUGUCUCUUGUGGAAAGCCAAGUUUGCCCCUGGCCCUGGCCCUCUCCCUCUUCUCCCUCUCCCUGUCCUUGUCGGGGUGUGUGAGUGAGCCCGUCCUCUAGGCCCCUGUUAAAAAUAAAAAUAAAAAAGCUGCAGCUUGCUUAGCUUUGGCUUCCCAGAAGGGAACGCAGGGCUCUGUGCAGAUGCAGGGGGGUCCCCUUUCAGGCCCCGAGCCGAGGGUUGAGUCUGGACUCGCCCCUUAUUUCCUAGGACAGGGCCAAGCCACUUCCUUGGUAGCAGACCAGCCUGUAGCCAGGGCCUGGGUCUGCGCCUGUCCUUCUGGCGCCCUGCCAGCGUGACGCCCCGUAGUCGGGGUGUGUGUCACGAGCCCUGGAGCCCUCUGUCCCCAGGAGCAGCCCGAGCUCCCCCUGUAAGCAGGGCGGAGGUGGCGGCAGUGCCGCAGCCGGCUGCUUUAGCCAGCCAGCAGGAACAACCCCAGCAUCGCCCCAUCGGAGGGGGCCGGCUGAGGAAGUGUUGUGCCGGAAGGCGGGCAUAGUCCCAUCGCCUUUGGCGUUGCUUUUGGUUGGGGUGACGUGCGCGCAGUUGGCGCGGAGGUGUCUCCCUGGGCUCCUGAAGACGUGGUGUUGUGCUGCAGCCAGGAGGGCCAGCCCGUCCGUCGGGCCUAGGCCGGAGCCUCGUGCUCCAUGGGGCUUUCUUGGAAGGCGGUGAGGCGUGGGGGGACCGCCCUGUAGGCAGGGCUGUGCGUGUCCCCUGCCCUGGACAGGAGGCGCCUGUAGGGCCCCCGCUGUAAUCAGGGGGGCGGGCACCUGUGGCCCCGGCCUUUCAGAGGCGCGGGGCCGAGUUGUGUGGAGGGGCCGGGCGUGCCCUCCCCGUACUCGGGGCUGGGGUCCCGGCCCCCGGCCUUUGGCCGUGCCGCUCCACCGCCUGGCUGCUGAGAAGUCGUUCCUGCUGGUGUGGGGGAAGGCCGAGCUCUGGGGCUCCCUGGGUGUCGACCUGCCUGUAAUCAGGGGUGCGGGUCUGGGAGCCUUUGUGCUCCGCUGGCAGCCGGUGUGGGGUGACCGUCCCGUUAGCGGGUUCGCGGUCAGGGUGCCCCGGAAUCGGAGAGAAGGAGCCUCCGUUUGCCUUUGGGACCAGGGCUGCCCCGUAACUCGGGGGCCAGCCAGUGCCCUGGCGUCCCGGGCACUUUGCGGUCCAGGCAGCGGCUCGAGCCCCCUGUAAGCAGGGGUGCAGCCUGUCUGGCCGCUGCUUUGCCUGCCCAGCUCCGUUUGCCCAGGGUGCCCGCCUCCGAGCCCAGCUCCAGCACCGGCUGGAGCUCUGCUGCGCGUCCCUCAGCAGCAGCCGGUGGGGAAGAAAGAAGAGGGAGGCGUCGUGUGGACCUGCACUGCGAGGCAAGAGCGACGAAGAAGAGGAGAAGAGGGAGGCGUCAUGUGGACCUGCACUGCGAGGCAAGACUGACGAAGAAGAGGAGCAGAGGAGCAAAGAGAAAGGCACUCUGGGCAAAAGGCCGUCCCGGUCGAGAGGUCUGCAGACACGUAAGAAGAGCAUGGCCGGCACCUUUGGUGUCCUGGCCGGCUUUGCGCUGGGCGACCUCCCUGUAAGCAGGGCUCAGGUCUUUUGCUUUAGUCGGCCUUUUGCCACGCUGCUCCUUUGGCUGCCUGGAGAGAGUGUCAACCCUGUAAGGAGGGUGAGCGCCACUGUCUCCGCACCCGAGGGGGAACUGGAGCUCUCUGGACCCCAAGGCCACCCUGUAAGCAGGGGAGGGCCGUUUUGCCCACCCGACUCCUGCGGCCCUGGCGGCUUUCUGCCUGCGGCCAGCGUGACGCCCCGUAGGCGGGGUGUGUGUCACGGCAUGCAGCCCCGAUGGGGUGGGUCUGAGGCUCUCCUGGCCUGCUCGUGGGUAGGGGUUGCCCCCCGGCCCGCUCUGGAUGGUGUCUGCACGCAGUUCCCUGUCUCUUGUGGAAAGCCAAGUUUGCCCCUGGCCCUGGCCCUCUCCCUCUUCUCCCUCUCCCUGUCCUUGUCGGGGUGUGUGAGUGAGCCCGUCCUCUAGGCCCCUGUUAAAAAUAAAAAUAAAAAAGCUGCAGCUUGCUUAGCUUUGGCUUCCCAGAAGGGAACGCAGGGCUCUGUGCAGAUGCAGGGGGGUCCCCUUUCAGGCCCCGAGCCGAGGGUUGAGUCUGGACUCGCCCCUUAUUUCCUAGGACAGGGCCAAGCCACUUCCUUGGUAGCAGACCAGCCUGUAGCCAGGGCCUGGGUCUGCGCCUGUCCUUCUGGCGCCCUGCCAGCGUGACGCCCCGUAGUCGGGGUGUGUGUCACGAGCCCUGGAGCCCUCUGUCCCCAGGAGCAGCCCGAGCUCCCCCUGUAAGCAGGGCGGAGGUGGCGGCAGUGCCGCAGCCGGCUGCUUUAGCCAGCCAGCAGGAACAACCCCAGCAUCGCCCCAUCGGAGGGGGCCGGCUGAGGAAGUGUUGUGCCGGAAGGCGGGCAUAGUCCCAUCGCCUUUGGCGUUGCUUUUGGUUGGGGUGACGUGCGCGCAGUUGGCGCGGAGGUGUCUCCCUGGGCUCCUGAAGACGUGGUGUUGUGCUGCAGCCAGGAGGGCCAGCCCGUCCGUCGGGCCUAGGCCGGAGCCUCGUGCUCCAUGGGGCUUUCUUGGAAGGCGGUGAGGCGUGGGGGGACCGCCCUGUAGGCAGGGCUGUGCGUGUCCCCUGCCCUGGACAGGAGGCGCCUGUAGGGCCCCCGCUGUAAUCAGGGGGGCGGGCACCUGUGGCCCCGGCCUUUCAGAGGCGCGGGGCCGAGUUGUGUGGAGGGGCCGGGCGUGCCCUCCCCGUACUCGGGGCUGGGGUCCCGGCCCCCGGCCUUUGGCCGUGCCGCUCCACCGCCUGGCUGCUGAGAAGUCGUUCCUGCUGGUGUGGGGGAAGGCCGAGCUCUGGGGCUCCCUGGGUGUCGACCUGCCUGUAAUCAGGGGUGCGGGUCUGGGAGCCUUUGUGCUCCGCUGGCAGCCGGUGUGGGGUGACCGUCCCGUUAGCGGGUUCGCGGUCAGGGUGUCCCGGAAUCGGAGAGAAGGAGCCUCCGUUUGCCUUUGGGACCAGGGCUGCCCCGUAACUCGGGGGCCAGCCAGUGCCCUGGCGUCCCGGGCACUUUGCGGUCCAGGCAGCGGCUCGAGCCCCCUGUAAGCAGGGGUGCAGCCUGUCUGGCCGCUGCUUUGCCUGCCCAGCUCCGUUUGCCCAGGGUGCCCGCCUCCGAGCCCAGCUCCAGCACCGGCUGGAGCUCUGCUGCACGUCCCUCAGCAGCAGCCGGUGGGGAAGAAAGAAGAGGGAGGCGUCGUGUGGACCUGCACUGCGAGGCAAGAGCGACGAAGAAGAGGAGAAGAGGGAGGCGUCGUGUGGACCUGCACUGCGAGGCAAGAGCGACGAAGAAGAGGAGCAGAGGAGCAAAGAGAAAGGCACUCUGGGCAAAAGGCCGUCCCGGUCGAGAGGUCUGCAGACACGUAAGAAGAGCAUGGCCGGCACCUUUGGUGUCCUGGCCGGCUUUGCGCUGGGCGACCUCCCUGUAAGCAGGGCUCAGGUCUUUUGCUUUAGUCGGCCUUUUGCCACGCUGCUCCUUUGGCUGCCUGGAGAGAGUGUCAACCCUGUAAGGAGGGUGAGCGCCACUGUCUCCGCACCCGAGGGGGAACUGGAGCUCUCUGGACCCCAAGGCCACCCUGUAAGCAGGGGAGGGCCGUUUUGCCCACCCGACUCCUGCGGCCCUGGCGGCUUUCUGCCUGCGGCCAGCGUGACGCCCCGUAGGCGGGGUGUGUGUCACGGCAUGCAGCCCCGAUGGGGUGGGUCUGAGGCUCUCCUGGCCUGCUCGUGGGUAGGGGUUGCCCCCCGGCCCGCUCUGGAUGGUGUCUGCACGCAGUUCCCUGUCUCUUGUGGAAAGCCAAGUUUGCCCCUGGCCCUGGCCCUCUCCCUCUUCUCCCUCUCCCUGUCCUUGUCGGGGUGUGUGAGUGAGCCCGUCCUCUAGGCCCCUGUUAAAAAUAAAAAUAAAAAAGCUGCAGCUUGCUUAGCUUUGGCUUCCCAGAAGGGAACGCAGGGCUCUGUGCAGAUGCAGGGGGGUCCCCUUUCAGGCCCCGAGCCGAGGGUUGAGUCUGGACUCGCCCCUUAUUUCCUAGGACAGGGCCAAGCCACUUCCUUGGUAGCAGACCAGCCUGUAGCCAGGGCCUGGGUCUGCGCCUGUCCUUCUGGCGCCCUGCCAGCGUGACGCCCCGUAGUCGGGGUGUGUGUCACGAGCCCUGGAGCCCUCUGUCCCCAGGAGCAGCCCGAGCUCCCCCUGUAAGCAGGGCGGAGGUGGCGGCAGUGCCGCAGCCGGCUGCUUUAGCCAGCCAGCAGGAACAACCCCAGCAUCGCCCCAUCGGAGGGGGCCGGCUGAGGAAGUGUUGUGCCGGAAGGCGGGCAUAGUCCCAUCGCCUUUGGCGUUGCUUUUGGUUGGGGUGACGUGCGCGCAGUUGGCGCGGAGGUGUCUCCCUGGGCUCCUGAAGACGUGGUGUUGUGCUGCAGCCAGGAGGGCCAGCCCGUCCGUCGGGCCUAGGCCGGAGCCUCGUGCUCCAUGGGGCUUUCUUGGAAGGCGGUGAGGCGUGGGGGGACCGCCCUGUAGGCAGGGCUGUGCGUGUCCCCUGCCCUGGACAGGAGGCGCCUGUAGGGCCCCCGCUGUAAUCAGGGGGGCGGGCACCUGUGGCCCCGGCCUUUCAGAGGCGCGGGGCCGAGUUGUGUGGAGGGGCCGGGCGUGCCCUCCCCGUACUCGGGGCUGGGGUCCCGGCCCCCGGCCUUUGGCCGUGCCGCUCCACCGCCUGGCUGCUGAGAAGUCGUUCCUGCUGGUGUGGGGGAAGGCCGAGCUCUGGGGCUCCCUGGGUGUCGACCUGCCUGUAAUCAGGGGUGCGGGUCUGGGAGCCUUUGUGCUCCGCUGGCAGCCGGUGUGGGGUGACCGUCCCGUUAGCGGGUUCGCGGUCAGGGUGCCCCGGAAUCGGAGAGAAGGAGCCUCCGUUUGCCUUUGGGACCAGGGCUGCCCCGUAACUCGGGGGCCAGCCAGUGCCCUGGCGUCCCGGGCACUUUGCGGUCCAGGCAGCGGCUCGAGCCCCCUGUAAGCAGGGGUGCAGCCUGUCUGGCCGCUGCUUUGCCUGCCCAGCUCCGUUUGCCCAGGGUGCCCGCCUCCGAGCCCAGCUCCAGCACCGGCUGGAGCUCUGCUGCGCGUCCCUCAGCAGCCGGUGGGGAAGAAAGAAGAGGGAGGCGUCGUGUGGACCUGCACUGCGAGGCAAGAGCGACGAAGAAGAGAAGAGGGAGAGGCAUGAUGUGGAAAUAUAAGGAAGAGGUGAUGAAGAAGUGUUUGUCUGAAAUGGAUAUCAUUUGUCAGUCAUUUGUAAUUAAUGCAAUAUGGUAAAAUAAAGUAGAUUUAAGAAAGCCAA